UUAGUGGCGAACGGGGUAGUAAUGCAUAGGAACGUACCAAGAAGUCAGGAAUAACUGCGAGAAAUCGUAGCUAAUACUUGAUAGUCCCUCCGGGGUAAAUUUUAUCGCCUCUUGAUCGGCCUGUGUGGUAUCAGCUUGUUGGUAAGGUAAUGGCUUACCAAGGCAAUGACGCCUAGGGGAGGUGAGAGCCUGACCCCCACCAUUGGAACUGCGACACGGUCCAAACUCCUACGGGAGGCUGCAGUCGAGAAUCUUCCACAAUGAACGAAAGUUUGAUGGAGCGACGCCGCGUGAUUGAUGAAGCCCUUAGGGGUGUAAAGAUCUUUUGUGAGGGAAGAAAUUAUUGACAUUACCUCAAGAAUAAGGGGCUCCUAAUCUCGUGCCAGCAGGAGCGGUAAUACGAGAGCCUCAAGCGUUAUCCGGAAUUAUUGGGCGUAAAGGGUGCGUAGGUGGUUGCAUUAGUCGUAUGUUAAAGAUCCCGGCUUAACCGGGGGGCAGCGUACGAAACGGUGCAACUAGAGAAUGUGAGAGGUGUACGGAACUAACGGUGUAGGGGUGAAAUCCGUUGAUAUCGUUGGGAACACCAAAAGCGAAGGCAGUACACUGGCACAUUUCUGACACUGAGGCACGAAACCCUGGGUAGCGAAUGGGAUUAGAUACCCCAGUAGUCCAGUGGCCUAGACGAUGCAGAUUAGCUUUUCGGAGUAUCGACCCUCUGAGAGGCGUAGCUAACGCGUUAAAUCUGCCGCCUGGGAAGUACGAGCGCAAGCUUAAAACUCAAAGGAAUAGACGGGGACUCGCACAAGCAGUGGAUCAUGCGGUUUAAUUCGAUGAUAAACGAAGAACCUCACCAAGGUUAGACAUCUUAGACGACGAAUUUGGGAAACCAAAUUUUUCCUUCGGGACGGCUAGACAGGUGUUGCAUGGCCGUCGUCAGUUCGUGGCUUGAGUUGUACCAUUAAGUGGGCUAACGAACGCAACCCUCAUCGUGUGUUAUACGUGUCACACGAGACUGCCCGGCCCAA
rnacentral:rRNA from 1 species